rnacentral:rRNA from 1 species
UGGGCAACCUGCCCCUCUCUCUGGGAUAACCCCCGGGGAAACCGGAGCUAAUACCGGAUACUCCGGCUGGAUCGCAUGGUCCGGCCGGGAAAGGUCCGCCGGAGAGGGAUGGGCCCGCGGCCUAUCAGCUUGUUGGUGGGGUCAUGGCUCACCAAGGCGACGACGGGUAGCUGGUCUGAGAGGACGACCAGCCACACUGGAACUGAGAUACGGUCCAGACCUCCGUACGGGAGCA